GAUGAACGCUGGCGGCGUGCCUAAUACAUGCAAGUCGAGCGAACGGACGAGAAGCUUGCUUCUCUGAUGUUAGCGGCGGACGGGUGAGUAACACGUGGAUAACCUCCCUAUAAGACUGGUAUAACUUCGGGAAACCGGCUCUAAUACCGGAUAAUAUUUUGAACCGCAUGGUUCAAAAGUGAAAGACGGUCUUUCUGUCACUUAUAGAUGGAUCCGCGCUUCAUUAGCUAGUUGGUAAGGUAACGGCCUACCAAGGCAACGAUGCAUAGCCGACCUGAGAGGCUGAUAGGCCGCACUAGAACUGAGACACGGUCCAGACUCCUACGGGAGGCAGCAGUAGGGAAUCUGAGGCAAUAGGCGAGAGCCUGGCGGAGCAACGCCGCGUGAGUGAUGAAGGUCUUCGGAUCGUAAAACUCUGUUAUUAGGGAAGAACAUAUGUGUAAGUAACUGUGCACAUCUUGACGGUACCUAGUCAGAAAGCCACGGCUAACUACGUG
rnacentral:rRNA from 1 species